rnacentral:rRNA from 2 species
CGUAGGUGACCUGCGGAGGGAUCAUUACACAAAUAUGAAGGCGGGCUGGAACCUCUCGGGGUUACAGCCUUGCUGAAUUAUUCACCCUUGUCUUUUGCGUACUUCUUGUUUCCUUGGUGGGUUCGCCCACCACUAGGACAAACAUAAACCUUUUGUAAUUGCAAUCAGCGUCAGUAACAAAUUAAUAAUUACAACUUUCAACAACGGAUCUCUUGGUUCUGGCAUCGAUGAAGAACGCAGCGAAAUGCGAUAAGUAGUGUGAAUUGCAGAAUUCAGUGAAUCAUCGAAUCUUUGAACGCACAUUGCGCCCUUUGGUAUUCCAAAGGGCAUGCCUGUUCGAGCGUCAUUUGUACCCUCAAGCUUUGCUUGGUGUUGGGCGUCUUGUCUCUAGCUUUGCUGGAGACUCGCCUUAAAGUAAUUGGCAGCCGGCCUACUGGUUUCGGAGCGCAGCACAAGUCGCACUCUCUAUCAGCAAAGGUCUAGCAUCCAUUAAGCCUUUUUUUCAACUUUUGACCUCGGAUCAGGUAGGGAUACCCGCUGAACUUAAGCAUAUCAUG